AUCUGUUGAUGUUAUGUGAUCUAAAGGGUUGUAGAAGUGGUUAUGAAAUUGCAAUGGUGUAGCCGAUGUAGUUAUAUGAGUGAAUGCUUUGUGUAUUUUGGUCGUUUCUGCACGUUCUACAAAGAAUUUUCUAAAAUUGUCUACCUGUCCAUAAUGUAGGUUUUUUAUGUCGACAUUAUGUCAAAAAUGGAAAGUGACGCGGACCUUGAUCAAGCAUGACAUCCUUUUAACUUUACGGUAUAUAUUACAUUGGAUUUAGGAACUUUCGGGUAUCGCUGCCGUUUUUUGUUCCGCCACAAGCCAUCUGUGGAACCUGGUUCUUCAACUCAUUAACUGGAGAAUAUGUGAAUACUGUAUAUAAAUCAUUGGAUAAAUAAAUGUGCAGAAUGGAGCUACAUGCAACUGAGGAACACUACUCCUGGGAGCUUGUAAUUCAGAGAAAUGUUUGAGUUCCUCAAUGGAAGACCAUGUGUGUAAAUUAUUUUAAGUGAAAUAUGUUUUUGUUAAAUUGCAAAGCUAUAUACGAUUUGUUAAAACUUCUGUCAGUGAAUCACAAUAUUCCUUUUAAUAA